UUUAUUCAUCUCACAUUUCUUAUGUCCUAAUAAUUAAACAAGAGUUUUCUUACUGUUUGUAUUUAAUUCCAGGACAAAGUGAAAUCCUCCUUAGCUUCUCUCACACAGAGGAAGGCCACUGCUCUUGGAGCUGAAGUUAAACAGAAACAGAAUAUUUCACAAGUGAAGCAACAGGCGAACAGUCUGGAGAACCACGUCACGGCAGAGUUUGCUAAAAUGCGCCACAGCCUCACUGACAGAGAGGAGCGUGUAAUCCGAGAGAUCAGAGAGUGAGAGGAGGAGAUGUUACACCAAAUGGAGAAUAAUCUGCGACAGAUUCAGGACAAGUUAGAUUCUACAAAACAUAAUCUGUCAGAGUUACAGAAACUGAUGGAAAAGGACACACUCACCUUUCUGCAGGUAACUGUGAGGAGUGACCAGACAGCAAUGUGAGGAGUGACCAGACAGCAAUGUGAGGA